rnacentral:rRNA from 1 species
GUAACACGUGGACAAUCUGCCCCCCGGCCGGGAUAGCCCAGGGAAACCUGGAUUAAUACCGGAUGAGACGGGACCCGCGAUGGCGGGACCCGGGAAAGGCGCUGCGGCGCCGCCGGGGGAUGAGUCUGCGUCCCAUUAGCUAGACGGCGGGGUAACGGCCCACCGUGGCGACGAUGGGGUAGCCGGCCUGAGAGGGUGGACGGCCACAUUGGAACUGAGACACGGUCCAGACUCCUACGGGAGGCAGCAGCUAAGAAUCUUCCGCAAUGGGCGAAAGCCUGACGGAGCGACGCCGCGUGAACGAAGAAGGCCGUGAGGUUGUAAAGUUCUUUUCGGGAGGGGGAACAACCGUGGCAGGGAAUGGCCGCGGGAUGACGUGAAUCCCGGAAUAAGCCCCGGCUAACUACGUGCCAGCAGCUGC